AUUGAACGCUGGCGGCAUGCCUUACACAUGCAAGUCGAACGGCAGCACGGGUGCUUGCACCUGGUGGCGAGUGGCGAACGGGUGAGUAAUACAUCGGAACGUACCUUAUCGUGGGGGAUAACGCAGCGAAAGCUGUGCUAAUACCGCAUACGCCCUGAGGGGGAAAGCGGGGGAUCGCAAGACCUCGCGCGAUUAGAGCGGCCGAUGCCUGAUUAGCUUGUUGGUGGGGUAAAAGCCCACCAAGGCGACGAUAAGUAGCUGGUCUGAGAGGACGAUCAGCCACGCUGGGACUGAGACACGGCCCAGACUCCUACGGGAGGCAGCAGUGGGGAAUUUUGGACAAUGGGGGCAACCCUGAUCCAGCAAUGCCGCGUGAGUGAAGAAGGCCUUCGGGUUGUAAAGCUCUUUUGUCAGGGAAGAAACACCGGCUCUAACACAGUUCGGGAAUGACGGUACCUGAAGAAUAAGCACCGGCUAACUACGUGCCAGCCGCCGCGGUAA
rnacentral:rRNA from 1 species